rnacentral:rRNA from 1 species
UAGGGAAUCUUGGGCAAUGGGCGCAAGCCUGACCCAGCCAUGCCGCGUGUGUGAAGAAGGCCUUAGGGUUGUAAAGCACUUUCAGUCGUGAAGAAAUGCUCAGGGUUAAUACCUCUGAGUCUUGACGUUAACGACAGAAGAAGAUCCGGCUAACUCCGUGCCAGCAGCCGCGGUAAUACGGAGGGAUCGAACGUUAAUCGGAAUUACUGGGCGUAAAGCGCGCGUAGGCGGUCUGUUAAGUGGGAUGUGAAAGCCCCGGGCUCAACCUGGGAACUGCAUUCCAAACUGCCAGACUAGAGUAUGGUAGAGGGAGGUAGAAUUUCCUGUGUAGCGGUGAAAUGCGUAGAUAUAGGAAGGAAUACCGGUGGCGAAGGCGGCCUCCUGGACCAAUACUGACGCUGAGGUGCGAAAGCGUGGGGAGCAAACAGGAUUAGAUACCCCCGUAGUCC